rnacentral:tRNA from 1 species
GCAUCCGUAGCUCAGCAGGAUAGUGCGACCGCCUCCUACGCGGUAGGCCGUGGGUUCGAAUCCCGCCGGAUGCGCCA